rnacentral:rRNA from 26 species
CCUGGCGGCGAUAGCGCGGUGGUCCCACCUGACCCCAUGCCGAACUCAGAAGUGAAACGCCGUAGCGCCGAUGGUAGUGUGGGGCUUCCCCAUGUGAGAGUAGGGAACUGCCAGGU